AACCGUGCAAAGGUAGCGUAAUCACUUGUCCUCCAAAUAAGGACCCGUAUGAACGGCUAAAUGAGGGCCUAACUGUCUCCUGCAGCUAAUCAAUGAAACUGAUCUCCCAGUACAAAAGCUGGAAUACACCCAUAAGACGAGAAGACCCUGUGGAGCUUAAACUAUAUUGCUAUUACACCACAACCAACCCAACACGGGAACAAACACUAAAUUUAUAGCAAAAACUUUUAGUUGGGGCGACUACGGAGUAAAACAAAACCUCCAUGAAACCUGGCUGACCCCCAUUUUAGGGCACACACGCCAAAAAACUAAUAAGGACUGACCCAGUACUACUGAUCACCGAACCAAGUUACCCCAGGGAUAACAGCGCCAUCCCCCCCAAGAGUCCUUAUCGACGGGGGGGUUUACGACCUCGAUGUUGGAUCAGGACACCCUGAUGGUGCAGCCGCUAUCAACGGUUCGUUUGUUCAACGACUAACGUCCUACGUGAU
rnacentral:rRNA from 1 species